rnacentral:rRNA from 1 species
UACAGAGACUGCAAGCGUUAUUCGGAUUCACUGGGCGUAAAGGGUGCGCAGGCGGCCGGGUGUGUGAGGCGUGAAAGCCCGAUGCUUAACAUCGGAAUUGCACCUCAAACUACACGGCUAGAGCAUUGGAGAGGGUAGCGGAAUUCACGGUGUAGCAGUGAAAUGCGUAGAUAUCGUGAGGAACACCAGAGGCGAAGGCGGCUACCUGGACAAUUGCUGACGCUCAGGCAUGAAAGCGUGGGGAGCAAAAGGG